rnacentral:rRNA from 1 species
AGAAGAAGCACCGGCUAACUACCGUGCCAGCAGCCGCGGUAAUACGGAGGGUGCGAGCGUUAAUCGGAAUUACUGGGCGUAAAGACGCAUGCAGGCGGCCUCGUUAAGUCAGAUGUGAAAGACCCGGGGCGUUAACCUCGGAAUUGCAUUUGUAAACUAGGCAGGCUAGAGUCUUGUAGAGGGGGGUAGGAAGUUUCAGGUGUAGCGGUGAAAUAGCGUAGAGAUCUGAAGGAAUACCAGUGGCGAAGGCGGCCCCCCUCGGACAAAGACUGACGCUCAGAUGCGAAAGCGUGGGGAGCAAACAGGAUUAGAUACCCCUGGUAG